rnacentral:lncRNA from 1 species
CCGCUACAUCCAUAGUGCCUAUGCCACUCACCUUGCUUUUUCUCAUCAUGCAGGCAUUUUAUCAUCUCACGGCUUUACAAGAUAGGUAUUACUUUCGGACAAGUAAAGAGAUUAAUGCUACAAAAAAAAAAAUGAAGAAGCCCGCAAGCAUGGGCUUAGGCCCAGUGGGACUUGAAAUGUGUUCAGAAGAGGGGGCUGCCCACGUGUGGUCACCGAACACACCCCAUCUCUUUGCUCUCUGGGUUUGAAUGGAACUACGCCAGCUUCGAUAUCCAGUAGCAUGUCAGGUCC